rnacentral:rRNA from 1 species
CCUACGGGUGGCAGCAGUCGGGAAUAUUGCGCAAUGGAGGAAACUCUGACGCAGUGACGCCGCGUGCAGGAAGAAGGUUUUCGGAUUGUAAACUGCUUUAGACAGGGAAGAAAAAAGACAGUAUCUGUAAGAUAAGCGCCUGCUAACUACGUGCAAGCAGCCGCGGUACUACGUAGGGGGCAAGCGUGAUCCGGAUUGAUUGGGUGUAAAGGGUGCGUAGACGGGAAGUCAAGUCUGUUGUGAAAUCCCUCGGCUUAACUGAGGAACUGCAACCAAGACUGACGUACUUGAGUGCUGGAGAGGAAAGUGGAAUUCCUAGUGUAGCGGUGAAAUGCGUAGAUAUUAGGAGGAACACCAGUGGCGAAGGCGACUUUCUGGACAGUAACUGACGUUGAGGCACGAAAGUGUGGGGAGCAAACAGGAUUAGAUACCCGAGUAGUC